rnacentral:sRNA from 1 species
GUAAAAUAUAAAAUGAAAAGACACGGACCUAUUGAGGGAGCUAAUUUACUACUAGACAGACUUGUUGUAUACAAAGGAUGGUUUCAUUGUUUGAUACAAGUUUUGAAAGAUCCAAAAGUUAGAUUAUUACCUGCAGCAGAACAGUUGGAGAAAAUACAAGAUGAACUAUGCAUCAAAUAUCCUCAAUGCAUCAAGCUAACGGAGGAUGUUAGUGCAGGU